UUGAACGCUGGCGGCAGGCCUAACACCUGCAAGUCGAGCGGAUGAAGGGGGCUUGCUCCUGGAUUCAGCGGCGGACGGGUGAGUAAUGCCUAGGAAUCUGCCUGGUAGUGGGGGAUAACGUCCGGAAACGGGCGCUAAUACCGCAUACGUCCUGAGGGAGAAAGUGGGGGAUCUUCGGACCUCACGCUAUCAGAUGAGCCUAGGUCGGAUUAGCUAGUUGGUGGGGUAAAGGCCUACCAAGGCGACGAUCCGUAACUGGUCUGAGAGGAUGAUCAGUCACACUGGAACUGAGACACGGUCCAGACUCCUACGGGAGGCAGCAGUGGGGAAUAUUGGACAAUGGGCGAAAGCCUGAUCCAGCCAUGCCGCGUGUGUGAAGAAGGUCUUCGGAUUGUAAAGCACUUUAAGUUGGGAGGAAGGGCAGUAAGUUAAUACCUUGCUGUUUUGACGUUACCAACAGAAUAAGCACCGGCUAACUUCGUG
rnacentral:rRNA from 1 species